UACGUAGGUGGCAAGCGUUGUCCGGAAUUAUUGGGCGUAAAGCGCGCGCAGGCGGUCCUUUAAGUCUGAUGUGAAAGCCCACGGCUCAACCGUGGAGGGUCAUUGGAAACUGGGGGACUUGAGUGCAGGAGAGAAGAGUGGAAUUCCACGUGUAGCGGUGAAAUGCGUAGAGAUGUGGAGGAACACCAGUGGCGAAGGCGACUCUCUGGAACGCAACUGACGCUGAGACGCGAAAGCGUGGGGAGCAAACAGG
rnacentral:rRNA from 1 species